rnacentral:rRNA from 1 species
AUAAGAGGUAUAGCCUGCCCAGUGACAUAUGUUUAACGGCCGCGGUAUCCUAACCGUGCGAAGGUAGCGUAAUCACUUGUUCUUUAAAUGAGGACUUGUAUGAACGGCACCACGAAGGUUAUACUGUCUCCUUUCUCCAAUCAGUAAAACUAAUCUCCCCGUGAAGAAGCGAGGAUAUAUUUAUAAGACGAGAAGACCCUAUGGAGCUUUAAACUAACCAGCAUUUGCUAUAUACAUUUUUUGACUUAAAACAAUCUAGCCCUCUGACUGGUAAUUUUCGAUUGGGGUGAUCACGGAACAAAAAUAACCUCCGUGUCGAAAGGAUCUUCCUGAGCAAAAAGCGACAGCUUUCCGCACUAAAAAAUUAACGUUCAUUGACCCAAUAUUUUGAUCAACGAACCAAGUUACCCUAGGGAUAACAGCGCAAUCUACUUCAAGAGUCCCUAUCGACAAGUAGGUUUACGACCUCGAUGUUGGAUCAGGGUACCCCAGUGGUGCAGCCGCUACUAAAGGUUUCGUUUGUUCAACGAUUAAUACCC